UGUGCACCACCCUCUCACCCAAACGAAGGCAGCUGGCCCUGAAGUUCUCUGAGCUUGAGGACAAAAAAAGACCUCUGUGAGUUGUCAGGCUCUGUUACAGUCUGGGUCAGCAGACAAGAGUCCCAGGGCUCGGCCGUCUUCUCUAGGAGAGAAAAUAUUCGUGCCAUAUAGCGUGUUCUAAGAGUUCUCACCAGAAGCCCAGAAAGUUCUGUAUUUACUCAGCAUUCAAGGGAAAACAGACCCUGUAUUUUUGGGAUUCCUGAAAGGUGACCAGAGGAAUAUCCACAGAAGCAGAAGUAGGAAUGGGGAAGGAGGGGACAAGUUUAGACCAAGCUCUUCUGUGACCUCACUUCUGCUUUUGAAGUCCCACAGCUCUAUAAGGCCAGGGUCAAAGGAACCUAAUGUGAAAAUGUUUCAGUCUUUUGAUGAAGUAUUCCAGAACACAGAACUCCUUAUCAUACAGAACAUCAAGUUCCUUUAAGAUAUGGGUUGCUAUCUCCAAUUCAUUUUGGGAAGAGGCUACCUUCAUCCCCAAACAGGAACUGCUGCAAGGCCCGCAGCAGCCAUGGGUGAGUGGCUCUGGAGAUGGGGUAAGUGGCCUACGCACCCCAGAGGAACAGCUGGCAGCCUAGUCUUCGGGCAGCAGCUCCACUCAGCCCUGGGGAAUGACAGAUACAGACAACCAGUUAUGCCAGUGAAGUGCCCUAAACUAGAGAUAGCUGGGGCGCUGUCAGCCACCUUAACAGUGAGAAGAAGCAACAGGAUGAAGUGGAAACAGCGUCACACAGAUGGAGCCUCGAAUCCCAGCAUGCUAGCCAUGUGUCAUCUUCAUAGUCUUCCUAACGUCUGUGGCCUCAGAUGCCACAUCAGUAAAUGGCACACCAUAUGUGAUUUAGGCUAAGGGCCUGAGUGUAAUAGUUGCUUAGGAAUUAUAGCCCUUCUUAAAUAAAUGGAGAAACAGUCCAUGUUCAUGGAUUGGAAGCCUCAAUGUUAUUAAGAUGGCAAAUCUCCCCAGAGUGACCUGUAGAUGCAACACAAUCCCUAUCAAAAUCCCAGCAGGCUUUUCACUCCUUUUUAAUAAGGACACCGGUCAUAUUGUAUUAAGGUCCAUCCUAAUGACCUCAUCUUAACUCAGCUACAUCUGCAAACACCUUAAUCCAAAUAUGACAUUCUGAGGUACUGGGAUUAGGGCUUCAAAAUAUCUUUUUGGGGGAACACAAGUCAACCCAUAACAGAUAAUUAACACAAAUAC
rnacentral:lncRNA from 1 species